UACGUAGGGGGCAAGCGUUGUCCGGAAUUACUGGGCGUAAAGGGAGCGCAGGCGGUCCUUUAAGUUAGAUGUGAAAUACCCGGGCUUAACUUGGGAGGUGCAUCUAAAACUGGGGGACUUGAGUGCAGGAGAGGAAAGUGGAAUUCCUAGUGUAGCGGUGAAAUGCGUAGAUAUUAGGAGGAACACCAGUGGCGAAGGCGACUUUCUGGACUGUAACUGACGCUGAGGCUCGAAAGCGUGGGGAGCAAACAGG
rnacentral:rRNA from 1 species